UCCGGUCUUUAAAAAUUGUAAUAUCAACUCGUUAAAGCUAAAUUUAAUGAAAAAUGAAGCGCCAGAUUCUUCCUGCAAUUUUUUUCACCCUCCCUUUAGCCACCCCCUCCAAAUAAAACAAAGAAAACCCUAAACCCGAACACAAAACGAUUAUUAUUUCACCAUCUAACACUAUAUCCACCACAACUAAUUUCAGCGAGAAACAUCGAUUCAUUCAAAAGCAUCGCUCUUUGUCAGGAAUUUCAGAGUCCAUUGCUAAUUUUGAGACCAAGCAACUACAAUUUUCGGAGUUGGAACAACUGUAUGUCAUUUGUCAAGUUAGUAUUUAGUAACACUCAUCAGACCAGCUUACCAAUGGAAUCGUUUGCAGCAUUUUGUGGUUGAUUUGGCAAGUUCGAGCUCGGCAAGACCUAGCUGCUCGGCCAGUGUUAGUACAAGAACAAUUAGAGAAGGUGAAGUUGAUCCAUAACGCUUGAAAAUCACUCAAAAUCGUUAGAAGUCUUAUUUAGAUAAGUCUCGCCUUGAUCUUGACUCUAAUUAAGAAAAAAUAAAGUACUAGCAAAAUAAUAGAAGAAUAAUACUGCUAUAAUAAAAUUAUGGCCAUUGAUCAGUGCAAAGCCUGUUGAUAUUUUCUCAUGGUAAAAUGAUGCUUAUAUUAACAACUACAGAUAUAAUGUAUUUCAUUUAUAGUACUAUGUUCAUCUAGAUAUAUAAGCAUCUGAAUUUGAUUGAUUGUUCUUUAUUAUACAGAAAAUCACCUAAUUGCAUCCCAUUCCUUCAAGAUUUUGAUUAGGACGCAUAUUUCUAUAUAAGCUUUUGUUACAGACAGCUAAAUUUACUCAAUAAAUCGGAGUUUGCAGCCAUGGCAAUAUCUCCAUCUUCUUUGCUAUAUUCGCAAUAUUGUGAAUCUAAGCUGCAAUCUUCUAUCAUUAUUUUUUGGUCAUCACUGUUGUUUCUGUGCGCGUUAUUUCAGAAAUGCUCUUGACCUCGGAUUCUUGGUAUUCUAUAUUUGUUGUUUCGCUCCAAAGGUAAGUUCUGUACCCUCUUAUACUAGAAGUCAUGUGUUAGUGUUACUAUUGUUUCUGCCCAUUUUCAUUUGGUUCAGCUGAAAGUUCUUUCUCCAUUUGCUGUUAAAAAGUCACUGGCCCAUUUUAUAAAAAAUGUGCUCAUGAUAUUCUAUUCGUCAGGAAUACACACGUGUGUUUUUGUUGUCAUUCGCAUAGUUAGAGUUGAGAGUGAUCCUUGUUGUUUUAUUCUAAUAUUUCACUGUAAAUCGUGGAAUCUUAAUAAGAUUUGUGCCUGAGUAAUUUGUCUCUCAAUUCUUUGGUUACUAUUUGAUGUGACACGUUGUUGUUAUUAUGAUUUUUGUGUCGGUAUAUAUUUUCAUAAAUGGGAGUAUUCUCCAUUGUUUCAACCUAGCAGUCACCCUUUAGGACCUCUUGAGUUCUAUUUUUAAUUGGUAACUGCUUACUCUUCAUGGAAAAUGCACUUCAAAUCUAUUUGGUACAGGUUUAACUUUCUAGACUCAUGUAUUCAUUUUUUUUUCCUUUUCGAAAUCCAUCUUCAGAGUUAUGUAUUUUGUUUGAACCAAGACCUGAAGCAUAUUACCUUUGUGUUUAAGUUUGAAUCAGAUUCUAUAGAGUAUAAAGAAUGUCCUUUAAGUUGCAAGAUAGACAAUCACUUUCUUUGGUGAUUUAAGUUGCAAGAUAGACAAUCACUUUCUUUGGUGAUUGGAUGAUGUAGAUGGAAUCCAUGAGAAUGUAUUUGGCUAAGGAUAUUGUAUUUCCUAAAAAAAUAUCCUUGAUAAAUACCUUUUCACAAUAUAUGAUUGCAUUUACAUAAAAUCAAAGAAAUAUUUCAAAGUUUAUUCACCACACCUCUGUAAUCAUAUCAGUUUAUCAGUUUAAAAGCAUGCCUGGAAGAAUUAUUUUGUAUCAGAGUUGUGUUCUUUAAUUUCAGUCUCUUCAUGUGUUUAAUUAGGUAUUAAUUGUGUUUGAUAGCUCUCCAGGUUAAUUAAUAACUCGUGGGAGAUUAAGGGCUUUGAAGUCAAGUCCUUCAACCAACAUAAAAUUUUAAUAUUUUAGCGAACAAUCUGGUCUCUCUUUUAAAAUUCUUACUAUUAAAUCAAUUCUUUUCAGUGUAAAAAUAUUUGCUUAUUAGGUGAAUUCGUUGCAAUGUUUGUAAAGUGCCUGUAUCUUUUCCUUUUUUUACUUAUUGCUUGCUUUUGAUAUUUGUUCACGAUCGGCUAGUCAAAUAUGUACUCCCUCCGUCCCAAUUUAUAUGAUGUUGUUUGAUUGGGCACAGAGUUUAAGAAAUAAAUGAAGACUUUUGAAUAAUGUGGUCUAAAAUAAGCCAAAGAUAUUUGUGUGGUUAUAAAUCAUCGCGUUAAGCGUAAAAGGUAAAGUUUAUGUGGUUUAUCUCUCAUUAAUUUGCCACCGAGGUUAGCACUGUGUGAUUAACAUUGUCACCAUGUCAUUCCUCUAAGGUGGGAUACAUUAAACUAAUCAGUUUCUUUGCUUUUUUUGUGUGAGAUCUUGUCAUCCAUGGAGGUCUGCGUUCUUUUGGAGAAAGAAGAUUAUUCCACAUAUCCAGCUGUCACUUCAAUUCUCAAGCUUGUCAAAAGGAAUGUCGGUAAAUAGUGAAGUACUUUUUUUGUGCUAGGAUGAUGGUUAGUUGUUCAAUUUAGCUUAUUUUCUUUUCUCAAUAUUAGCUUAUGUGAUUUGUUGUUCGUCGGCAUGCAUUACUCGCUUCUCUAACGCCCAAAAAGUUUGCAUCUAGUCAUGUAGUUACUACUUAAUUAUCAUUAUUUGAUCUUUGUCUGAAUAUAUAGGAACUAAGACAUCUAGUUUAAAUUAAUUUGUCUGAACCCUUAGGAUUUCACAUCUAGUUUAAAAUCUUAAAAUUAGCAACUUAGCUUUUUAAAUAUCUUUCUUGCUUCCAAACACUUAAUCUCAACUAGUUUUAAAUUCGGCGGAACAUACGAUUAUGGACCUCGAAAGCUGGCUAACACCUUCCUUCGGGUAAUUUGAACCCUUACCCGAUCUCAAGUUACGCACACUAGUAAAUAUGAAGUCAUUUGCAAUUAGUUGUAGUAAAUAGGUGCCCUAAUGCACCUCAACCCGUUAGGUGGCUACUCCUCUCUUUUACCUAUUAAAAAAGUUGUCACAUGUCGAAACCCACUUUCCAGACAAAAUGGGGUGUGAAAAUAGAAUGUUGUAAUGACAAGUUACAGCAGUGGUAGUUCCCCAAUGAAUAUAUCUUCAUGUCACUUAAUCCUUUACUUUCAGGAAAAUAUUGCAACCAACAGUUUAUUCUUCUAUCAUUUGGUAUCCAUGUCGCUAGGUUAACUUACUUCCUUGAUUCUUUUUCAAAUAAAUUUAUCAAUGUCUUCCUAGAACAUUUGAUAUAACUUAAGUUGUUGUAGUCAAAAUAUUGCUUAAUCACGGACAAAAUGAAUUCUUACAUGCUUAGUAUAUGAUGGUGGUAAAAAGCAGCCCUUCUGCGUUUUACAAAUCAUUCCAGAAAUAUAAUUACAAAUUUUCAAUUUCCUUUCAGUGAACUUCUCUUUUUGUUUAUGCAACAGCCAUUCUUUUGUGAUUUAGAUGUUGUUGUUGCUCUUGUCAUGCUCUAACAUAGUCUGUUGUCAGGUACUGUUACUUUUGGUUUUAUUUUUAUGUUGUUGCUGCUUUUCUUUGGUGUUGGAUGCUAAAUUAACUAUGGUUAUGGUGCAUAAUAUUCUGCCCUCAGGUGGUACUUCUUUUGUUGCAUGAUGCUUAUAGUUUGUAUCAGAUUUUUCCGAUGAAAAGGUAAAGAGCGGCCGGUCACGGAGUUGCAGUUGUUUACCCAAAGAUAAAGUGAAAUGCUUAUGUUGUCAUAUGAAGUGAAGUUUCCUAUUGUAAUGUUUGAUUUCUUUGUGAAGAUGAAAUGAUGCUCUAUUGGUGUGAAGUUUCUUUAGGCUAGAUUUAUUUUUGUUACUGGUAUUAAGUACUAAUCUAGACUUAAUGCUGUAAAACUUCUUUAAGUAAAUUCUGCUGUAAAGUUACCUGGUGUAAAUACACCAAAGAUUUCUUUAUAUAUAUAUAUAUAUAUAUAUAUAUAUAUAUAUAUAUAUAUAUAUAUCUAUACAAUCUUUUGGUUA